rnacentral:rRNA from 1 species
UACGAAGGGGGCUAGCGUUGCUCGGAAUCACUGGGCGUAAAGCGCACGUAGGCGGAUUGUUAAGUCAGGGGGUGAAAUCCUGGAGCUCAACUCCAGAACUGCCUUUGAUACUGGCGAUCUUGAGUCCGGGAGAGGUGAGUGGAACUGCGAGUGUAGAGGUGAAAUUCGUAGAUAUUCGCAAGAACACCAGUGGCGAAGGCGGACUCACUGGCCCGGUACUGACGCUGAGGUGCGAAAGCGUGGGGAG